UACGUAGGGGGCUAGCGUUGUCCGGAUUUAUUGGGCGUAAAGAGCGUGUAGGCGGCCAGGUAGGUCUGCUGUGAAAACUCGAGGCUCAACCUCGAGACGUCGGCGGAAACCAUCUGGCUAGAGUCCGGAAGAGGAGAGUGGAAUUCCUGGUGUAGCGGUGAAAUGCGCAGAUAUCAGGAAGAACACCCGUGGCGAAGGCGGCUCUCUGGGACGGUACUGACGCUGAGACGCGAAAAGCGUGGGGGAGCAAACAGG
rnacentral:rRNA from 1 species